UUGAUCCUGGCUCAGGAUGAACGCUAGCGGCAGGCUUAACACAUGCAAGUCGAGGGGUAGAGUUCUUCGGAGCUUGAGACCGGCGCACGGGUGCGUAACGCGUAUGCAAUCUACCUUUUACAGAGGGAUAGCCCAGAGAAAUUUGGAUUAAUACCUCAUAGUAUAAUUGAAUGGCAUCAUUUAAUUAUUAAAGUCACAACGGUAAAAGAUGAGCAUGCGUCCCAUUAGCUAGUUGGUAAGGUAACGGCUUACCAAGGCUACGAUGGGUAGGGGUCCUGAGAGGGAGAUCCCCCACACUGGUACUGAGACACGGACCAGACUCCUACGGGAGGCAGCAGUGAGGAAUAUUGGACAAUGGGCGCAAGCCUGAUCCAGCCAUGCCGCGUGCAGGAUGACGGUCCUAUGGAUUGUAAACUGCUUUUGUACAGGAAGAAACACUGGUUCGUGAACCAGCUUGACGGUAUCGUAAGAAUAAGGAUC
rnacentral:rRNA from 1 species